rnacentral:misc_RNA from 1 species
AUGGGAGAUACGUUAGAUCCCUACAACAUCCAUCUGGCAGUCCACUGUCAAAGCUUGUUGCAUCACGUCAUGGAAGGAUUGUUCUUUAUUCUGAUGAUGAUCUUAGUUUGCACCUCUACUCUAUAAAUGGCAAACACAUUUCAUCUUCUGAAUCCAAUGGCCGCCUAAACUGUCUUGAACUCAGUAGCUGCGGAGAGUUCUUGGUUUGUGCUGGAGAUCAAGGGCUAAUCAUCGUACGCUCUAUGAACUCACUUGAGAUUGUGGGGAAGUACAAUGGUAUUGGGAAAAUAGUAACUUCACUAACUGUGACACCGGAAGAAUGCUUUAUAGCUGGGACUAAGGAUGGAAGUCUUCUUGUUUAUUCAAUAGAAAACCCUCAACUUCGUAAAACUAGCAUCCCGAGGAAUUCAAAAUCCAAAACCUCUAUGACAUAGUGAAUUUGCUGUUCUGGGCUGUGGUGUAAAUUUUACAAUACCAUCACUGGAAGUGAUGCUGAAUUGAGGGUGAAAUGAAG